GUGCCAGCCGCCGCGGUAAUACGAAGGGGGCUAGCGUUGUUCGGAUUUACUGGGCGUAAAGCGCACGUAGGCGGGUCGUUAAGUCAGGGGUGAAAUCCCGGAGCUCAACUCCGGAACUGCCUUUGAUACUGGCGACCUUGAGGCUGGAAGAGGUUAGUGGAAUUCCCAGUGUAGAGGUGAAAUUCGUAGAUAUUGGGAAGAACACCAGUGGCGAAGGCGGCUAACUGGUCCAGAUCUGACGCUGAGGUGCGAAAGCGUGGGGAGCAAACAGGAUUAGAAACCCGCGUAGUCC
rnacentral:rRNA from 1 species